GAGUCCGAUAGCGAACAAGUACCGUGAGGGAAAGUUGCAAAGUACUCUGAAGAGAGAGUAAACAGUACGUGAAGCCGCAUACAGGUAAACGGGUGGCGUCAAGCUGCGAGCCCGGGGAAUUCAGCUGACUAGGAUGUAGUGUACGCGCCUGGUGCGUCAAGUGGCCAGAGUAAGAUGGGUAGUUCUCUCCUCUGCUGGGAGGGAAGGCAACUCAAUUGUCGCUAUGCGGGCUGGUUUGUUGCCAGUGCAUGCUACUCGUCUGUUGGGCCGCCUAGUCAGUGCACUUUCUCCGUGGUGAACACCACGACCGGUGGCAUUGCCAGUCUACUGUAGUCAAGUUAUACCCCUCUCCUGUCUGGGUAUGAUCGCAGACGGAUUGAAUGAACGGCGUAGUGGUGCCUCGGUACUGCUGCGUGUUAUCGUGCAUUCGCCGUUGUAAACGAGGCCGGCGGUGUGUUGUAACUGCACUUGUUCUCGGCGGACUGCAGUGGUGAAAAUGACUGUGCAAGGCACCGGGGUUAACCACCUCAUUGAAUGGUAUUCGGCACGCACGUUACAGGUGCAUUGUGGUGUUGGACCUGACUGUCGUGUUGCCUACAAAAAGUAGGUCCGAUAGUGGUUGCAGACGCCUUGCAGUGUGCAGUUACUGUAAUACCGGGGGUGACAUAGUCAGUGGUGCUGUGGUAGACGAGCUACCCGACCCGUCUUGAAACACGGACCAAGGAGUUUAACAUGUGUGCGAGUCAAAGGGUCCUAUGAAACCCCGAGGCGCAGUGAAAGUGAAGUUCGUGCUGUGUGUACACACGCAGUGCAGCACGACGUGGUGAGAUCCCGCUGUUAGUCGCAGUAGCCCGCCAGGCUAAGGGCAGUGGGCGCAUCACCGGCCCGUCCCAUGAUGUGGUCAUAGGUGGUGGCUAGCCUGUGCGUCAUCGGGGCGGAGCAUGAGCACACAUGUUGAGACCCGAAAGAUGGUGAACUAUGCUUGCGUAGGUUGAAGCCAGAGGAAACUCUGGUGGAGGACCGUAGCGAUUCUGACGUGCAAAUCGAUCGUCAAACGUGAGUAUAGGGGCGAAAGACUAAUCGAACCAUCUAGUAGCUGGUUCCCUCCGAAGUUUCCCUCAGGAUAGCUGGCACUCAUUGGCAUAAUCAGUUUUAUCCGGUAAAGCGAAUGAUUAGAGGUGCUGGGCUCGAAACGAGCUCAACCUAUUCUCAAACUUUAAAUGGGUGAGAUGCUCGACUCGCCUAAUGUGGCGUGUUGUGUGGCGGCGGAGUCGGGCGUUGAAUGUGCGAGUGCCAAGUGGGCCAUUUUUGGUAAGCAGAACUGGCGCUGUGGGAUGAACCAAACGCUCGGUUAAGGUGCCUAACACUGACGCUCAUGAGAUACCACAAAAGGUGUUGGUUAAUAUAGACAGCAGGACGGUGGCCAUGGAAGUCGGCAUCCGCUAAGGAGUGUGUAACAACUCACCUGCCGAAUUGACCAGCCCUGAAAAUGGAUGGCGCUGGAGCGUCGGACCUAUACCGGGCCGUCAUCGCAAGCUGAGUCGCGCAGAGAAUGCGUCAUCAAUCAUGACUCAGGCAUGGAGUGCGAUGGCGAGUAGGAGGGUCGCCGUGGUGAGCGUGGAAGCCUCGGACGUGAGUCUGGGUGGAGCCGCCACGGGUGCAGAUCUUGGUGGUAGUAGCAAAUAUUCAAGUGAGAACCUUGAAGGCCGAGGUGGAGAAGGGUUCCAUGGGAACAGCAGUUGGCCAUGGGUCAGGCGGUCCUAAGCGAUCCGGUGACUCGGUACAGAGUUGUGGGGUGCCUUGCCUAUCUAUUUUAUAUGCUGGCAGCCCCUCGGAGCGAAAGGGAAUCGGGUUAAUAUUCCCGACCCUGCCCACGGAGAUGGGUGGUGACUCGGUGCAUAAUGCUUGUGUGUUGUGAUUGGGCACUACCAUGCGCGGUAACGCAAACGAACUCGGAGACGUCGGCAAGAGUUCCGGGAAGAGUUCUCUUUUCUUUGUAAGGACGGUUACCACCCCUGGAAUCGGGUUGUCCGGAGAUAGGGGUAUCACCUCCGUAAAGCACCACCCCUCUUGUGGUGUCCGGUACGCUCUUGUCGGCCCUUGAAAAUCCGAGGGAGGCAUUAUAAUUUUCGUGGCAGGCCGUACCCAUAUCCGCAUCAGGUCUCCAAGGUGAACAGCCUCUGGCACUAGAAUAAUGUAGGUAAGGGAAGUCGGCAUAUUUGAUCCGUAACCUCGGGAAAAGGAUUGGCUAUGAGGGCUGAGUCAAACAGGCUGGGUAACGAAACGUGUCUGAACUCGGCUUGCGGCUGGCUGAUGGGCAUGGCUUUGGGCCUGUCGGCUGGAGGCGAGUUGAGGUGACCGUGGGCGGACUCGGCUAUCCAUACGCCUUGGUUGGCUGUUGUGUGUGUUCUCCUCCAUGCGCUGGCCUCGGGGGGUAUUUGUUUGACAUGAAACAGCCAACUCAGAACUGGCACGGACCUGGGGAAUCCGACUGUCUAAUUAAAACAAAGCAUUGCGAUGUCUGCUGAUCGGUUUUGACGCAAUGUGAUUUCUGCCCAGUGCUCUGAAUGUCAAAGUGAAGAAAUUCAACCAAGCGCGGGUAAACGGCGGGAGUAACUAUGACUCUCUUAAGGUAGCCAAAUGCCUCUUCAUCUAAUUAGUGACGCGCAUGAAUGGAUUAACGAGAUUCCUACUGUCCCUAUCUACUAUCUAGCGAAACCACAGCCAAGGGAACGGGCUUGGCAGAAUCAGCGGGGAAAGAAGACCCUGUUGAGCUUGACUCUAGUCCGACUUUGUGAAGAGACAUGGCGGGUGUAGUAAUAGGUGGGAGGGCGGCUGUUUUCGGGCCGUCCCGACAAUGAAAGACCACUACCAUCAUUGUUUCUUUACUUAUUCAGUGAAGCGGGAUUGACAAUAUGUAUAUAUUGGCAUUGAAGCACAUGUUGGCGUGCAUGCGGUUGACAUCCUCGGUUGCAGCUGGCUGGCCAUGGUCCGUUGCCACUGCCAGUGUAUGCGACGUGCGACCCGAUCUGAAGACAUUGUCAGGCGGGGAGUUUGACUGGGGCGGUACAUCUGUCAAAUCGUAACGCAGGUGUCCCAAGGUGAGCUCAGCCAGGACAGAAACCUGGCGUAGAGUAAAAGGGCAAAAGCUCACUUGAUUUUGAUUUUCAGUACGAAUACAGACCGUGAAAGCGUGGCCUAUCGAUCCUUUUGAUGAUCCGAUAUUCAGAGUUUGAAGCAAGAGGUGUCAGAAAAGUUACCACAGGGAUAACUGGCUUGUGGCGGCCAAGCGUUCAUAGCG
rnacentral:rRNA from 1 species